AAGGGAGCUUCCCUCAUAUCAUCGUAAUGCAUUCCCAACACACACACGUACAGUAUAGUAGAGACAAGGUCACGGCAGUAUAGAGUGCUGUACUAGUACUGUAUAGCUAGCUGGAUACAGUUGACCAUUGAUUGAUCAGCGCAGCGUGUCAGAACAAUUUACACGAUCACAACACAAUGGCGUCCUAUGCACAGCAAAUAAGUGCUCCAGUGGGAGCAGGGGGCGGGCCGUAUUUCCCCGGCAACUACCCACCAGCCAGAGGCCCCUCCAGCACACUACCGGCUACCUAUAUGCACGAUGUUCCAGAUGAAGCGAUCCUCGGGUUCCCCUUGAGACAGACCAUUCGGGAGCAAGGUGUCAAAAAAGACGAGCGUGCUAUGACACUGUCCGGAAUGAUGGUGAACCUUGGACCCAGCGGUCAUGCACGCGGUAACUCUCCAAACUUUGAGGAUCUUCUUUUAGGAGAUGAAGAGAAAAAAAAGGAAAGAGAAGUGCUCCAGCAAAACAGAGCACGACUAACUGAGUACGUUCACGACUGCACUGUCCUGUUUCCCUAUAUGAGAGAGAAAAAUGUGUUCAAUCCCUCGGACUGUGACAAGAUCAACCACGAGAUCACAGGCAUCAUGAAGAUGAACACGUUCAUUGAUAUCGUACUCACCAAACGCCCCCAGGCAAUAGGAGUGUUCCACGAGUCCCUGAACAAGCACUACCCUGCAGUGUUUGAUGUUCUCUCCGGCCUCUUCACCAACGCUGGAGUCAGUCUCCCCAACACCAGGCAGAAGAAAGAGAGACCAGAGUUUCAAGAUGAUGACACUAGCUACGAAGAGGACGAUAUAUCGCGUACCAUCAACAAUCGUGGGCGGCGUGGGCGUGAUGGUGUGCGCACUAUACGUAUACGCCUCAAGGAGCUGAGCAAACACUGUGCACGUGUGCAGAGUCAGAGGGACGAACUACAGGAAGACAUCAGGAUGAGGGAACAAGACAUUGACUCCCUCAUGAGUCGUAUUGAUCGUCAAGAUGCACAAAACGGAGAACUGAUGAGCAAAUUGCAACACUGGCGGCAAAGUCUCACCGACCAAUCAAACGGCAGCAUUCGGCACCUCGGGGAGAUUAUACAUGAGAAGGAGAUGAUACAGACUGAAUAUUCUGAGCUAGCUGGAGAGUUGGAGUUAACAGUGUCCGAGCUGAUGGCUGCCAGGGACCGAAUAGGGAAGCUGCUCAUGCAUCUAGACAGAACUGAUAAGCAAGCAGCGGCCACCGUAGAAGCCAAUGAAAAACUCCAAGAAAAGGUUCAGAUGCAGAAUGGAGAGAUACAGAAGUUGUUGCGUAAGAUAGAUCGUCUGAAGGCCGAUGGUUCCACCCACACAACCACCAACAUCGUACCAACGGACAAAAAGAUACAAGAGUUGGAAGCAGAGGUUGCUCAACUGAAGACUGACUGUGAACAGCUCAAAGAACAAACUGCCGUGGCUAGCCGGGAGAGGAAGUAUGCACUGGAUGAGAAAGACCAAGCUCUCUCAAAAGUACACACAGAGAAGAGCAAGAACAGUCAUCUCAAGGCAAAGGUGAAGGAGAUUCAGUCUAUGUUGCCUGUUGGUGCUAGUAUCAACAGUACACUAGAUUCAGUGGGUGUGGUCACCACGCCCCGUCCCACCGAGGACACCACUGUAUUCAUUACCACUGAAGGGUCUGGUAUGGAGCUGGGUCUGGCUGUGGUGAUACGGAGUGUGGGGGAGGGGAGCAAAGCACAUCAAGAGGGCAUCAGGGUCGGGGACGAGAUACGAGAGGUCAACAGGGUCAAAGUGACCUCCGAGUCGUGCAAGGAUCCUCUGGACUUUGCCAAACAGAUACUCAGUUCCGUCUCACAACACGUGGUCAACUUGACUAUACGUCGACCACCAGUAGCGGCCUCCGCUAACGAGGGGGUGCGGUUACGCAGUCCAUUGGACGUCAAGUUGAGGGGCAUGGCACUGCGGAAGGUAUCGGGGCAGUCUGAGAAUUAUAGUUCAUAUCCCAAACCCAACAAGCUGUUCUCCACCCACACGAGUGCCAAGUCUAGUAGCACCUCCACAAGAUCACAUGACACCACCAGCGGAGAUGAUACAAGAGACAGUGAUAGUCUAACUGAUCAGAGUGAUAGCGAUGACGAUAACCAUGGCAACAGGGCCUUACGUCUCACUAACAACUCUGAACCCUCAGAGCCGGGAAUCAUUGACUCACCACGAAGCUCUGUGGUCUACAAUCAGUGGUGUGGAGGUCACAAUCAUGAGACGGUGAAGGGACUGGAGUUUGGGGGGGAGGACCCCACAAUACCAAUCGACAGUGACUAUGGCUCCCUCACUCAAGACAAGCUCAUUCGUAAACGUGGAGUACGCAAGUAUAGACGUGACAAGAUGAAGUUGUCCCGAUCACUGGAUGAUAUGGACAAGGUCAAGUUCCUCACCCACUCACCCAACUUGGAUGACAUCAGUCCAGAGCUCAGAAGUCACAUUCGUCAAGUGAUUAUCCGUCAUGGACAGUGGGGCGAUGAUUUCGAUAUUACCGGUGGCCGUGGCAACGGAUUGUUUAUUGAGUCGCAUUCGGACAUUAGGGGACUAAACACGGGAGAUCAAAUCCUACAGAUUGGGGACUACCCAGCCAAGAACCUGACGUAUGCGGAGGCUCUAGAGAUGCUGAGUGGCCUCACUGAGAGCUACUACUUUCUCCUCGUGGCCGAGAACAAACCAGCGUAUGAUCUCGUGUUUCUCUCUAACUACCAACGAGACCACUUCUUCGUGCGAGCGCGAUAUUCUCACUAUCACAAGACACGGACGGACUUUGGACUGGAGUACAUCAAAGGAGACGUGUUUCAUGUGAUUGACUCGAAACCCCAAGGUUACUCUGGGUACUGGCGUGUUGAAAAGGUCAAAAGGUCAUCUGGGGAGGACUCUGAUGUCUAUGAUUACAUUCCCAUCACUCUCGAGACCUCAAGGAUCUAGGAAGCAACAAAGAAGAAGAUUUUGUUUUCAAAGCGGAAGUGCAUAUUAAUUUAAUUAUUUCAUAGAGUUAGCUUAUCUAUAUAAAGUCACUGAGAAUAAAAGACUUAUCUACAUGCAUCUAUUAUUGUAUUAUGUGGCUUUAAUACCAGGACCUCAAGAAAGAAAAAAAUUGAUUCUUCCAGGAUCUGUAGUUCAGUGUAUAAUUAUAAUAUCUAAGAAUAAAAGACUUGUGUACAUGCAUAUUGUUAUCUAUAUUGUUAUAUAGUAGUGUUUUGUGGCUUACCAGGCCCUCAAGAAAAAAUAUGAUUCUGCCAGGAGGAUCUGGAUCCUUGGAUAUCACACAUGGGGAAUGAGCGCGCAUGCGCAUUAUGUCCACAGGAAUAAUUAAAGGGUGUGUCCAAAUUCACAAAUGACUGCUAGCUAGCUAGCUAGCUGUGAUAACAGGUAUUUUCUGAGUCUUGUAGCUAACAAAAAGCUAGCGCUUUAGUGCAAGGCUAACUCAUAUGUUGAAUAGAAAGUUUGUGCGGACAGAUGAUGCUAUGAAAGAUUCUAAAGAGACUGCAACAGCCUUCAAUGUGAUAGCUGAGGAGAAUGCCAGAAGACCCAACAGUGUCACCAAGUGUUUCACACACAUGCUCGUAGAGUGGUUGCAAGGUGGUCCACAACUGGAGGACUUGUUGACAGCUCUAGAGUCUCCCGUUAUCAGUAGAGCUGACAUUGCUGAGGACCUCAAGGGAAGAUUGCAAGUGACUCUAGCCUGACAAUAUCCUCUAGCCAUUAUAAACUGUGACUGAUGGCAUUUAUUUUUUA